ensembl:lncRNA
AUGGCAGAACUGAAACCAACGCAUAUUAGCUGGCAGCCUUCAGUAAAUGCAAGCGCACACCAUACUGACAGAUAUGCCAGCAAUGAGUUGACCGUGAGGCGUGGACAACCCUUCACUAUUACUCUGUACUUCAACAGACAAAAGUACCCUGGGGAGAGCCUAGCCUUUGUCACUGAAAUAGGUAAUGCUCCCUUAGAUCCCUCCCACACUCACACAGCUGUAAGCACUAUUCCUUCUAGCUUCCCCUUAUUAUCAUAGAAUGGCUUAGGUUAGAGGGGACCUCAAAGAUCACCCAGAUCCAGCCCCCUGCCAUGGGCUGGUUGCCACCCACCAGAUCAGGGCCCAGAGCCCCAUUCAACCCAGCCUUGAAUGCCUCCAGAGAGUUUCAAGCCAUUCUUCCUUGUCCUAUCACUAGCAGACCGUACAAACGUUGGUCCCCCUCUUGCCUGUAAGCUCCCUUCAUGUACUGGAGGGCCAAAAUGAGGUUUCCCUGGAGCCUUAUCUUCUCCAAGCUGAACAAGUCCAACUCCCUCAGCCUGUCUUCAUAGGAGAGGUGCUCCAGCCCUCUGAGCAUCUUCAUGGCCCUCCUCCAGACCCACUCCAACAGCUCACAUCCCUCCUGUACUGGGGACCACAGGCCUGGAUGCAGUACUGCAGGUGGGGCCUCAUGAGGGCACAACCCCCUCCCUGCUCACUGCCAGACCUCUGUUGAUGCAGCCCAGGAUGCUAUUGGCCUUCCAGGCUGUAAGCACACACUGCUGGCUCACAUCUAGCUUUUCAUCCAUCAGGACUCCCAAGUCCUUCUCCAGCAGGGCUGCUCUCAAUGAGUUCUAUUCUGUGUGCAUAUCCAGGUUUGCCUCAGCCCAAGUGCAGCAACUUGCACUUGACCUUGUUAAACCUCAUUAGAUUCUCAUGUGCCCAAUUUUUGAAUGUGUCCAGGUCCCUCUGGAUGAUGUUUCUCCCUUCUAUUUUGCCAACUUACUAUUAUGUUUAGAGAUACAAUUUUUCUUUGUGCAUUUCUAACACUUCUUCCCCCCACAAUAUGUUCCUUUGCGUGGAGCCUCUGUAACCUAAGUGUGAGGUUAAUAUUGAAGUAACCCUUUAGAAUGUAAACUAAUUGACUCCUCUUUCUGGCAGGACCAUCCCCCUCAGAAUCUCAUCGUACAAGGGCUGUGUUUAACCUCUCUGAGGUGGGAGCAAGUGGCUGGAGUGCUGCCCAGGGACCCAGUGAGUCUGGAUAUAUGACCUUUAUAAUAUCUAGCCCAGCUAAUGCCAUCAUCGGACGAUACAAUCUCAUCCUCCAGGUAAACUCGGGGAACAAGAUCUUCUCCAGAUUCCUGGGGCAGUUUGUGAUUCUUUUCAAUCCUUGGUGCCCAGGUAGGUACUGAUGACUUUUCUCUUGAAUGUAACUGAUCUAUUAGCUUGCUCCUUCAAGCUGCCUUUCUUUGGGUUGCUGUAUCUCAGCUAUGCAUUCACAGAUCUGGUUUCACUACAUUAAAAAUGCACCACCUUCCCUCACCUUUUUAAUGAAAUGUGCUCUAUGGGAUGACAUUAUAGACUCUGCCUUCAGGACUGAGCAGAUCACAUAUUCUGUAGAUGAGAGCUAACAGACUUUCGUUUGCACAUGUACAUUUAAGAAAAUAAAGCAAGCAUACAGUAAUGCCCUUUAAUUACACCAAAAUCAAAGAAUACUGCUCUUGUACGUUAUCUGCAAGAGAUAGUAGCCCAGCUAUCCUUUUAAAAACUGAUGGAGGACUAAUGUGAAGAAGACUGGUACUUCCCGUAUCUUCAUCAUGGGUUGAAAAGGGCCUUCUCUUGCUGAUCCCAUUUUUAAUUUCUGCAGCCUCAGCAUACUGCAGAAGAAAUGCAAUUUCCCAAACUCAGAUUUUGCAAAUACAUGACAGAAACCUAGAUUAGCAUUAUACUAUAUCACUCUAAGGUUAAGAGAGCCUGUAAGACAAGAGAAAUUGUUGCCAGAUGAUAAAGUAAGCUGUCCUUAUAAUUUAAAACUAACGAUUUUGCAGAAAAGCCCUCCAGAUUUAUCUGACCACGCAAUGACCACUGCUAAACAAAAACAAGUAUCCUUCAGGUAGGAUGUGGCUAAAUAAGCUGCUGCUCCUGAGAGACGGGAACAGAUUCAAUUUGAGGAUACAUUACCACUAUAGGAAGUGCCAUAGUAAAAGGAAAAUAGAAAAACUAUGUUCCCUGAAAAUGACUGUC